UGGAUUUCAGUAGCAUCCACU
rnacentral:miRNA from 1 species